CGGCGGACGGGUGAGUAACGCGUGGGUAACCUGCCUCAUACAGGGGGAUAACAGUUGGAAACGGCUGCUAAUACCGCAUAAGCACACAGUACCGCAUGGUACGGUGUGAAAAACUCCGGUGGUAUGAGAUGGACCCGCGUCUGAUUAGGUAGUUGGUGGGGUAACGGCCUACCAAGCCGACGAUCAGUAGCCGACCUGAGAGGGUGACCGGCCACAUUGGGACUGAGACACGGCCCAA
rnacentral:rRNA from 1 species